AUGGCUCAUGUGGCUGUGGGCUAUGACUGUGACCCUGAAGAGGGAUGGUGGGGCGGCCCAGUCCCCCCGCCGGGGGCAGAAGCGACCCCGAGGCCACAUGUGUGGUCAGAGAGACUAAGAGUCCUCACAUGUAGGAGUCCAGGCCGCCUCAAAGCAGUUGCACGUCGUCUGGACGCCGAGCCCGAGGAGCUCUCUCUCCUUGAGGAUCCGGAAAGAAAACGUGGAGACCGAAGUACCAAUGGCAUGCGAGCGGAUCCACUGGUCGAUGAUGGCCACGCUGCCGUCCCUGUAGAGCUCCAUCUCCUCCCACGUGGGCUCGAACUCACCAUCUCCAGCAAUAGCUUCUUCAGCUCCUCGUGUUCCGUUCUGAUGCGUCUGUGGCCACCAACACCUUGUCCAGCUGGCCGCCGCCGCGGCUGCCGCAGCCUGUGGAAGCCUGGAAAAGGGGAAGUGCGAGCGAGCGAGCGACUCAGUCCCCGGGCGGCGGAGGCAGCGGCGGAGGCAGCGGCGGCGGCCGGGGCGGCCCCGGGCGGGGGCGCUGCUGCUGCAGCGGAGGGCAGGCGGUGGCUGUCCGCACCAGCCACGCUGAAUAAAAACAAGAAGGAGAAAGAAUCACCAAAAGCAGGGAAAAGUGGAAAAAGUUCAAAAGAAGGACAAGACAUAAUAGAAUCAGAGAUUUCCAGCAGGAAAAACAGCCUAGCUGCCACGCCGUCAACAGUGUCUAGCAAAAUAAAAGUGCCAAUCCCUCAGCCCAUAGUGAAGAAAGAGAAGCGGCAAAAUUCUCCCAGGUUUAAUGCCAGCAAUAACAGAGAACUUCAAAAACUACCCUCUUUAAAAGAUGUUCCUCCUGCUGAUCAAGAGAAGCUUUUUAUCCAGAAGUUACGUCAGUGUUGUGUCCUCUUUGACUUUGUUUCUGAUCCACUAAGUGACCUAAAGUGGAAGGAGGUAAAACGAGCUGCUUUAAGUGAAAUGGUAGAAUAUAUCACCCAUAAUCAGAAUGUGAUCACAGAGCCUAUUUACCCAGAAGUAGUCCAUAUGUUUGCAGUUAACAUGUUUCGAACAUUACCGCCUUCCUCCAAUCCUACGGGAGCAGAAUUUGACCCCGAGGAAGACGAGCCCAUGUUAGAAGCAGCCUGGCCUCACCUACAGCUUGUUUAUGAAUUUUUUCUUAAGAUUUUUAGAGUCUCCAGAUUUCCAACCUAAUAUAGGGAAGAAAUAUAUUGUCAGAAGUUUGUAUUGCAGUUUUUAGAGCUCUUUGACAGUGAAGAUCCUCGAGAGAGAGAUUUUCUUAAAAUUACCCUUCACAGAAUUUGUGGAAAAUUCUUAGGCUGAAGAGCUUACAUCAGAAAACAAAUAAUAUAUUUUAUAGGUUUAUUUAUGAAACAGAGCAUCACAACGGCAUAACAGAAUUAUGGGGAGUAUAAUUAAUGGAUUUGGGGAGUAUAAUUAAUGGAUUUGCCUUACCACUAAAAGAAGAGCACAAGAUUUUCUUACUGAAGGUGUUGCUACGUUUGCACAAAGUGAAAUCUCUGAGUGUCUACCAUCCACAGCUGGUAUACUGUGUAGUCCAAUUUUUAGAAAAGGACAGCACCCUCACUGAGCCGGUGGUGAUGGCGCUUCUCAAAUACUGGCCAAAGACUCACAGUCCAAAAGAAGUCAUGUUCUUAAAUGAAUUAGAAAAGAUCUUAGACAUGAUCGAACCGUCGGAAUUUGUGAAGAUCAUGGAGCCGCUCUUCUGGCAGCUGGCCAAAUGUGUGUCCAGCCCACACUUCCAGGUGGCAGAGCGAGCGCUGUAUUACUGGAACAAUGAGUGCAUCAAGAGCCUGAUCAGCGACAAUGCAGCAAAGAUCCUACCCAUCAUGUUUCCUUCUUUGUACCGCAACUCCAAGACCCACUGGAACAAGACAAUACAUGGCUUGAUCUACAACGCGCUGAAGCUCUUCAUGGAAAUGAACCAGAAACUGUUUGACGACUGCACCCAGCAGUUUAAAGCAGAGAAACUGAAAGAGAAGCUAAAAAUGAAAGAAUGAGAAGAAGCGUGGGUUAAAAUAGAAAAUCUAGCCAAAGCAAACCCCCAGGCACAGGAAGAUCUGAAGAAGGACUCGCCUGUCGUGUGCCGCAAGUCCGAGCUGCCUCAGGACCUCCACACCAAGAACACCUUGGAGGCUCACUGGGGAGCUAAUGAGCUGGUCUCCCAGGACGGGCGCUAG